GACGAACGCUGGCGGUGUGCUUAACACAUGCAAGUCGAACGGUAAGGCCCUUUCGGGGGUACACGAGUGGCGAACGGGUGAGUAACACGUGAGUAACCUGCCCUCAUCUCUGGGAUAACAGUCGGAAACGGUUGCUAAUACUGGAUAUGAGCUUGCACGGCAUCUUGUGGGUUGGAAAGAUUUUUUUUGGUUGGGGAUGGACUCGCGGCCUAUCAGCUUGUUGGUGAGGUAGUGGCUCACCAAGGCUUCGACGGGUAGCCGGCCUGAGAGGGCGACCGGCCACAUUGGGACUGAGAUACGGCCCAAACUCCUACGGGAGGCAGCAGUGGGGAAUAUUGCACAAUGGACGGAAGUCUGAUGCAGCAACGCCGCGUGCGGGAUGACGGCCUUCGGGUUGUAAACCGCUUUCAAUUGUGACGAAGCUUUUUUGUGACGGUAGCAGUAGAAGAAGCACCGGCUAACUACGUG
rnacentral:rRNA from 1 species